rnacentral:rRNA from 1 species
AGGUCUUGACAUCCCGAUGACCGCCCUAGAGAUAGGGUUUCUCUUCGGAGCAUCGGUGACAGGUGGUGCAUGGUUGUCGUCAGCUCGUGUCGUGAGAUGUUGGGUUAAGUCCCGCAACGAGCGCAACCCCUAUUGUUAGUUGCCAUCAUUCAGUUGGGCACUCUAGCGAGACUGCCGGUAAUAAACCGGAGGAAGGUGGGGAUGACGUCAAAUCAUCAUGCCCCUUAUGACCUGGGCUACACACGUGCUACAAUGGCUGGUACAACGAGUCGCAAGUCGGUGACGGCAAGCUAAUCUCUUAAAGCCAGUCUCAGUUCGGAUUGUAGGCUGCAACUCGCCUACAUGAAGUCGGAAUCGCUAGUAAUCGCGGAUCAGCACGCCGCGGUGAAUACGUUCCCGGGCC